ACAGAGCGUGAAUAUCCUUCGUGCCGCUCUUGUUCCGUUGCGGGCAUACAGCAAUUCCCAUGAUUCCUUCCAUUGAUCUUUGCAAGCAGAUUGAUUCUCUCUCUUGCAGUUGCAUGAAAGGUGUUAUACAUCUCCAUCAUUAUUUUCUUGUUGUUUUAGAAACUUUUGCUUUUCAAAAUAUGGCCGAUCCAAUGGGCUCUCGCUUAAAAAAUGGCAGAAAUGCGCGAGAGCUCAAUUUCACCCGGCCUAGAGUUGAAUAAUGGGGCAGCCUCAAGGUUUUUACAUGUUUUCUCACUCGUGUUUUAAUUCAGGAAAUUGCCCUAAAUAUUUCUUUCAUUAUUUCCUCUUUUUUCAAAUCCAAACAUUUAUUGACCAUGGCUACUCUUAUAGAUCUGAGCCCCCCUUUUUUUAUUUUCUGGAUUUGUUCAGCUCUUCAGUAUAUUAAUGGAUUCUCGCCCUCGUAUAAUCAUAAUUUUUGCUAGAGCUGUUUUGACUUCAGUCAUGUCAAAGUUUUGCAGCACGUCUUUAACUUUCCUCUGCAGACAGUUGCUAAUCUUGAGGAUUAGACUCAGUAAAAUGAGUAGAUGCGGAGUAGGAUUGCUUCCAAUCUGGUUACCUGAAAACUCGAUGUCCGAGUCAAGGAUCAUCAAUGGCAAACCCCAAAAAUGACGGGAGCUAAGUUUUCCACUGCUGUUGAAGAAACCAACUAAACAUCGACUUCCCUAAAAUCAGGUGAAAAAGAAGAAACAUGGAUAAAUUGGGCAAAUAAAUGAUGAAAAUGACUUUAAAUCAAAAGGUUACUUUUUGAUGAAAUAACAUUUUUUUUAAUGGGUUUUUUUAAAAAAAAAUUAUGAUAAAAUUUUAAUUAUAUCACAUUUCAACAUUUCAAAAUCAUGAUAACAAUGAAUUAGUUUAUUAUAAGGAUAAUCUAGACAACUUUCAAAAUUGCUAAAACCAGGGAUCAAAACUGUUAGCUAUACAAAAUUUGUUAAAAUCAGAGUUUUAGGACACAUUUUUAAAAUUUAAAGGUUUAAUAGUCAGUUUGGUGAUUUUAAAAAUUCAAUAAUGGUUAGAGUAGUGAUUUUAUAGUUGCUUUUAAAAAAUUAAUCUUUAAAAAUUUACAUGCGAUUAAAUAAUUAUAUAAAAAUAUUAUGGUUUUUUUAAGUUGAUAUUUUGUUGGUGUGACUAAAUCUUCUUUAAAACUUAAAUCUAUUUUAUUGGUCUAUAAAUAAAUAGAUAUGAUAAAUUAUUUUUAUAAUUUAUCUAAGAUAUAUCUUUAUUUAGAUAUAAUAGAUCAUGUUGUGAUUACUUUUUAAAAUUUUAAUUGAAGUUUGUUUUUUUUAGUUUAUUUAUAUUUUUAUUUAUAAAAUAUAUUUAAAAAAAAAUCAAAAAAUUAUGGUUUUUAUAUAAAAAGAUUGAUGGGUUAUACAAUUAUAUUCAACCGUUCGAUGAUAAUUGUGCUUUAAAAGGACAACAUAUUUAAAUGUUGAUAUUCAAAAACGCGAUCAUUAUGACAAUUAUCAUAAUAAUAUUUAAUAAAUAUUAUAUUUUAAAAAAUAAUAAGAUAAAAAGAUACUAUUUCACUACAUCUUUUUAAAUUGUAUUAUCCUAUGAAAGUUUCAAUUUACUAUGCAAUUAAAACAAGAAUUCCAAGAAACAGUUCAACAGCUACUAAAAUGGUUGUAAUGUCUCUUUGGACAUUGUUGGCUUGCAAUGGAAUUACACUUUGUGCCCAAAAGGCUACCAUUGGCAAAUGUACAGAAAAGCAUGUUUCAUGGUUGAAAGUUGAAACAAAAUCCAAGACCAAUUAACUGGUCUUGCUAGGAAAAUCUCAAAUUGAGUAAGGAAAGAUGAAGCAUCUGGUUCCCUUGCAAGUCCACUAUCUGUUGCAUGUCAGAUCAGAGGAAAGCUAGCUCAGAUGUCAUCUCCAAAAUGAAGAAGAUAAGACAUCAUCCUCCACUUGGAACAUGAACUGAAGUCACCAAAGAAAUUAAUGCUUGUAUACAUUCUGUUCAGUGCUCUCCAGAAAAGUUUCAUGUCAAUUGUAGUAUGGUACUGAUAUUCAGCCUUGAGUGGAAAUCCAGAGAAGCGAGCUCGAUGUUCUAGUUUGGCAUCCGUUGAAAGACUGCAGUUUAUCCGCGUUCAAAACUAUAAACCACCAAGUUCAGUUUCUUGAUUAUACCUUCAACUCUUAAAGACAUGGAUCCUUCAUGUUCCCAGAGAUCUUUGAGAAUCAUGCAUAGCUGUUGUUGGAAUGCUGCAGAUCGUUCUCUUUCGCGCUGAAGCUCAUCAUAUAUGCCCUGGAUCUUCUUAUCCUUUUCCUUCUGCAAACAUGGUUGAACAUAUCGAAGUUAGGCGAGUGAAGAGAAGGAAAAUCUUGGAAGAAUCCAGUACUGGAAUCUCAUCAUAAAUACAAUUUCACAAUCAAAGAUAUUUCCUGUAUGGCAUGCUACAAUGUCACAUUGUUCAAUCUUGGAGCCUUCAAGAUGAGGAACUGUGCUAUAUGUAUCGUUUCAGUAGGUUUAACGCACCUGUAACAUAUCUUUAAGUUUCGUCCAUAGGGUAAGCAUCCUCCCCACCAUUUGCGAAGCAGACAAGUACCACUCUAGCUUAAAUGCAAGUUUAAAGCUUUGCAAUCUUUUUAUAGGCAGACAAUAAUUACUAACUCACUCGAAGAACUUGUAUACAUGGAGUUAUCCCCAAUUUAAUUACAAAUGCAAAUAACACUGUUUUUGUAUUUUUCAAA